rnacentral:rRNA from 1 species
AUUGAACGCUGGCGGCAGGCCUAACACAUGCAAGUCGAGCGGAUGAAGGGAGCUUGCUCCUGGAUUCAGCGGCGGACGGGUGAGUAAUGCCUAGGAAUCUGCCUGGUAGUGGGGGAUAACGUCCGGAAACGGGCGCUAAUACCGCAUACGUCCUGAGGGAGAAAGUGGGGGAUCUUCGGACCUCACGCUAUCAGAUGAGCCUAGGUCGGAUUAGCUAGUUGGUGGGGUAAAGGCCUACCAAGGCGACGAUCCGUAACUGGUCUGAGAGGAUGAUCAGUCACGCUGAAACUGAGACACGGUCCACUCCUACGGGAGGCAGCAGUGGGGAAUAUUGGACAAUGGGCGAAAGUCUGAUCCAGCCAGGCCGCGUGUGUGAAGAAGGUCUUCGGAUUGUAAAGCACUUUAAGUUGGGAGGAAGGGCAGUAAGUUAAUACCUUGCUGUUUUGACGUUACCAACAGAAUAAGCACCGGCUAACUUCGUG